CCUACGGGUGGCUGCAGUGGGGAAUAUUGGACAAUGGGCGAAAGCCUGAUCCAGCCAUGCCGCGUGUGUGAAGAAGGCCUUCGGGUUGUAAAGCACUUUCAGUGGGGAAGAAAGCCUUGGGGCUAAUACCCUCGAGGAAGGACAUCACCCACAGAAGAAGCACCGGCUAACUCCGUGCCAGCAGCCGCGGUAAUACGGAGGGUGCGAGCGUUAAUCGGAAUUACUGGGCGUAAAGCGCGCGUAGGCGGUCUGAUAAGCCGGUUGUGAAAGCCCCGGGCUCAACCUGGGAACGGCAUCCGGAACUGUCUGGCUAGAGUGCAGGAGAGGAAGGUAGAAUUCCCUGUGUAGCGGUGAAAUGCGUAGAGAUCGGGAGGAAUACCAGUGGCGAAGGCGGCCUUCUGGACUGACACUGACGCUGAGGUGCGAAAGCGUGGGUAGCAAACAGGAUUAGAUACCCCUGUAGUC
rnacentral:rRNA from 1 species